rnacentral:rRNA from 1 species
CAGAAGCGGGGGAUAACACCUGGAAACAGAUGCUAAUACCGCAUAACAACUUGGACCGCAUGGUCCGAGUUUGAAAGAUGGCUUCGGCUAUCACUUUUGGAUGGUCCCGCGGCGUAUUAGCUAGAUGGUGGGGUAACGGCUCACCAUGGCAAUGAUACGUAGCCGACCUGAGAGGGUAAUCGGCCACAUUGGGACUGAGACACGGCCCAAACUCCUACGGGAGGCAGCAGUAGGGAAUCUUCCACAAUGGACGAAAGUCUGAUGGAGCAACGCCGCGUGAGUGAAGAAGGGUUUCGGCUCGUAAAACUCUGUUGUUAAAGAAGAACAUAUCUGAGAGUAACUGUUCAGGUAUUGACGGUAUUUAACCAGAAAGCCACGGCUAACUACGUGCCAGCAGCCGCGGUAAUACGUAGGUGGCAAGCGUUGUCCGGAUUUAUUGGGCGUAAAGCGAGCGCAGGCGGUU